CUGCUAUCGGAUGAUACUAAGCCAUGCGAGUCUUUGUAGUAAUACAAGGCAGACGGCUCAGUAACACGUAGUCAACCUACCCUAUGGACAAGAAUAAUCUCGGGAAACUGGGCAUAAUUCUUGAUAGAUCAUAAUGCCUGGAAUGGUUUAUGGUUAAAAUGAUUCGUCGCCAUAGGAUGGGACUGCGGCCUAUCAGCUUGUUGGUGAGGUAAUGGCCCACCAAGGCGAUUACAGGUACGGGCUCUGAGAGGAGAAGCCCGGAGAUGGGUACUGAGACACGGACCCAGGCCCUAUGGGGCGCAGCAGGCGAGAAAACUUUGCAAUGUGCGAAAGCACGACAAGGUUAAUCCGAGUGAUUUCUGCUAAAGAAAUCUUUUGCCAGUCAUAAAACCACUGGUGAAUAAGGGGUGGGCAAGUUCUGGUGUCAGCCGCCGCGGUAAAACCAGCACCUCAAGUGGUCAGGAUGAUUAUUGGGCCUAAAGCAUCCGUAGCCGGCUUUGUUAGUUUUCGGUUAAAUCCAUGUGCUCAACACAUGGGCUGCCGAAAAUACUGCAUAGCUAGGGAGUGGGAGAGGUAGACGGUACUCAGUAGGAAGGGGUAAAAUCCUUUGAUCUAUUGAUGACCACCUGUGGCGAAGGCGGUCUACCAGAACACGUUCGACGGUGAGGGAUGAAAGCUGGGGGAGCAAACCGGAUUAGAUACCCGGGUAGUCCCAGCUGUAAACGAUGCAGACUCGAUGAUGCAUUGGCAUAAUAGCCAGUGCAGUGUCGCAGGGAAGCCGUUAAGUCUGCCGCCUGGGAAGUACGUACGCAAGUAUGAAACUUAAGGAAUUGGCGGGGGAGCAC
rnacentral:rRNA from 1 species